CCUACGGGAGGCAGCAGUGAGGAAUAUUGGUCAAUGGACGCAAGUCUGAACCAGCCAUGCCGCGUGCAGGAAGACGGCUCUAUGAGUUGUAAACUGCUUUUGUACGAGGGUAAACGCAGAUACGCGUAUCUGUCUGAAAGUAUCGUACGAAUAAGGAUCGGCUAACUCCGUGCCAGCAGCCGCGAUAAUACGGAGGAUUCAAGCGUUAUCCGGAUUUAUUGGGUUUAAAGGGUGCGUAGGCGGUCGGAUAAGUUAGAGGUGAAAUCCCGAGGCUCAACUUCGGAAUUGCAUCUGAUACUGGCCGGCUAGAGAGCAGUUGCGGUAGGCGGAAUGUAUGGUGUAGCGGUGAAAUGCUUAGAGAUCAUACAGAACACCGAUUGCGAAGGCAGCUUACCAAGCUACUUCUGACGUUGAGGCACGAAAGCGUGGGGAGCAAACAGGAUUAGAUACCCCAGUAGUC
rnacentral:rRNA from 1 species